UACGUAGGCAGCAAGCGUUGUCCGGAAUUACUGGGCGUAAAGAGCGCGUAGGCGGCACGGUACGACCGGUGUGAAAGCCCCCGGCUCAACUGGGGAGGGUCACCGGUAACGGCCGAGCUAUGAGUGCAGGAGAGGGAAGUGGAACUCCGGGAGUAGCGGUGAAAUGCGUAGAGACCCGGAGGAACACCAGUGGCGAAGGCGGCUGCCUGGUCUGCAACUGACGCUGUGGCGCGAAAGCGUGGGGAGCAAACGGG
rnacentral:rRNA from 1 species